UUUUGCUCAAGACCGCGCAAC
rnacentral:miRNA from 2 species